GCUUGCUGUUCCCCCAGUCAGUAGUCAGGAAGCCCUUACCCCAAAAAGUAUUUGCGAGGGAUCAACUCUGCACAAGAGACGAGGAGGCCCAGGUGUCCGGCGGGGCUGUUCUUGGGCCUGCUGGCCUCCGCCUGUGCAUAUCACCCACCAGUCACCUUUGGGGUGGGCCAGCUUCACUCAAGCUCUCUGCUGCUGGAGACCCUUUCCAAGUGGCACACCUGGACCCCGUGGGAUUCUGAGCGCGCAAGUACCAAGCCUGCAGCGGACCAUUUCCAUGCCCAAUAACAGGGCUGCCGGUGAACCACAAAGCCCUCAAGGAUCAUCCAGCAGGGCUGGGGCUGCUCUUGGGCUUAUGGGCAGGAGCCCCCCCUCCCCCACACACGUAACUCAGAUCUCUCUCUGAAGUGAUAAGGGGUGUGCAAAACACAAUUUUAAAUCCCAAGUGGGGUUCUUCAAUACUGCAAUUAAAGCAAACUGUUUGGGGAA